UACGGGGGGGGUAAGCGUUGUUCGGAAUUACUGGGCGUAAAGCGUGCGCAGGCGGCUUACUAAGACAGGUGUGAAAGCCCCGAGCUUAACUUGGGAAUGGCGCUUGUGACUGGUAGGCUGGAGUGUGGCAGAGGGAGGUGGAAUUCCACGUGUAGCAGUGAAAUGCGUAGAGAUGUGGAGGAACACCGAUGGCGAAGGCAGCCUCCUGGGCCAGCACUGACGCUCAUGCACGAAAGCGUGGGGAGCAAACAGG
rnacentral:rRNA from 1 species